rnacentral:rRNA from 1 species
CCUACGGGUGGCAGCAGUGGGGAAUAUUGGACAAUGGACGCAAGUCUGACCCAGCAACGCCGCGUGCAGGAUGAAGGUUUUCGGAUUGUAAACCUCUAUCAUAAGGGACGAAAGAUGUGACGGUACCUGAAGAAGAAGCCGCGGCUAACUACGCGCCAGCAGCCGCGGUAAUACGUAGGGGGCGAGUGUUCUCCGGAUUUACUGGGUGUCAAGGGUGAGUAGGUGGUAUGGUAAGACAGAUGUGAAAGCCUGGGGCUUAACCCCAGGAUUGCAUUUAAAACUAUCGAGCUAGAGUACAGGAGAGGAAAGUGGAAUUCCUAGUGUAGCGGUGGAAUGCGUAGAUAUUAGGAAGAACACCAGUGGCGAAGGCGGCUUACUGGACUGAAACUGACGCUGAGGCACGAAAGCGUGGGGAGCAAACAGGAUUAGAUACCCUAGUAGUC